rnacentral:rRNA from 1 species
AUUGAACGCUGGCGGCAGGCCUAACACAUGCCAGUCGAGAGGAGCGGCGGACGGGUGAGUAAUGCCUAGGAAUCUGCCUGGUAGUGGGGGAUAACGUCCGGAAAUGGGAGCUAAUCCCGCAUACUAUCAGAUGAGACUAGGUCGGAUUCGCUAGUUGGUGGGGUACAGGCCUACAAAGGCGAAGAUCCGUAACUGGUCUGAGAGGAUGAUCAGUCACACUGGAACUGAGACACGGUCCAGACUCCUACGGGAGGCAGAAGUGGGUAAUAUUGGACAAUGGGCGAAAGCCUGAUCCAGCCAUGCAGCGUGUGUGAAGAAGGUCUUCGGAUUGUAAAGCACUUUAAGUUGGGAGGCGUUACCAACAGAAUAAGCACCGGCUAACUUCGUGCCAGCAGCCGCGGUAAUUC